rnacentral:rRNA from 1 species
UACGAAGGGGCUAGCGUUGCUCGGAAUUACUGGGCGUAAAGGGCGCGUAGGCGGCCAACUAAGUCGGAUGUGAAAUCCCCAGGCUCAACUUGGGAACUGCAUCCGAUACUGGUCGGCUUGAAUCGGGAGAGGAUGCAGAAUUCCAGGUGUAGCGGUGAAAUGCGUAGAUAUCUGGAGGAAUACCGGUGGCGAAGGCGGCAUCCUGGACCGAGAUUGACACUGAGGAGCGAAAGCCAGGGAGCAAACGGG